rnacentral:rRNA from 1 species
GUGGGGAAUCUUCCGCAAUGGACGAAAGUCUGACGGAGCAACGCCGCGUGAGUGAAGAAGGUUUUCGGAUCGUAAAGCUCUUUCGUUAGGGACGAACGUGCUCUUUGUGAAUAAUGAGGAGUAAUGACGGUACCUAAAUAAGAAGCCACGGCUAACUACGUGCCAGCAGCCGCGGUAAUACGUAGGUGGCAAGCGUUGUCCGGAAUUAUUGGGCGUAAAGUGCGCGCAGGCGGGAUAUCAAGUCUGUCUUAAAAGUGCGAGGCUCAACCUCGUGAGGGGACAGAAACUGGUAUUCUUGAGUGUCGGAGAGGAAAGUGGAAUUCCAAGUGUAGCGGUGAAAUGCGUAGAGAUUUGGAAGAACACCAGUGGCGAAGGCGACUUUCUGGACGAUGUCUGACGCUGAGGCGCGAAAGCUAGGGGAGCGAACGGGAUUAGAUACCCCGGUAGUCC